GCUCAUCCAACAGUUCAGCCUUGCCGUAGCUGGAGCGGGGGGACGCUGCGUGGCCAUCGGCAGGGGCAGGGCGUUCGCUUCGUGGGCUGGGGAGGGAUCCUUGGCUCCUCACCAGUCUUCCCAGUCCUGCCCUUGCGGAGGCCCCCGAUACCAGAGAGAAAAUGCUGAUGACAUCCACCGGUUGUUAUUCCGAUGUUAAUAUACUAGUAAUACGCAAUGUCCUUUCUGACUGGUAGGCGGAUGGUCCAGCAGCUUGUGACACUGCCAGACACACUGCGGAAGCUUUGGCUUCCGUUGUCCUUCCUGGUCUUCUCGGCUGACAUCUCCAGCUCUAACUUGGUUUCCUCAUUUGUUGUUUUUUUCCCCCUCUUCUGAAUUAAGGCAGUAAUGCUGAAUUCACUGUAAUUCAUUAUAUUUUCAUGUCUGUGUACAUGAGUUCCUUGAACAACCAGCGUUUUCUUAAAGAAACCUUAAAAAUGCUCUCUUCUUUGCUCACAAGGAUUGAAACCUUGAGAGGGGUCACCUGGAGCCCAAGACCGUGUCCCAUCAGGAGCUGAAUAUCUUCGGGGAUGGAAGAUCUGUGCAGCCCCUCUGGACAACCUGUGCCGCUGUCUGAGCAAGUUCACGGUAAAAGCGUUUUCUUGUGGAAUUUGAGGUUUCUCCUUUGUGCCUGUUCCCUCGUGUCCUACCAGCAGGCUCUGCAGAGAAAAGCCAGGCUCCCUCGUCCCCAGUCCCUCCCUUCAGGCAUCCGUAGCGUUCGGUGUGGUCCCCCCCGAGCCCCCUCCAGGCUGAACAGACCCCGCUCCCUCGGCCUGUCCUCAGACGUGAGAUGCUCCAGCCCCUCCAUCGCACUGACGUCUGCCAGCUCCCUCUGUGCUCACGCGUCCGGCUCCCCCAGCCCGUGAACGGCCACGCUGUUUAAAUGUGCCCUGACUACGCCUCUCCUGAUACGGACCUCUCCCCUGGCCCCAGAGUAUCGCUGGAUGACACGGGCACUACGUGGACGCUGUUGAUGCCUUUCUCUUCAUCUGGCCCAGUUCGUGUCUGACGUACAACACCGUUGGGCAAGGGAAACACAGCGUAUCAUAAACAGGGGAAGUUACACCUGGCACCAGAAUUCAAACAGAAAGUUGUGGAAAAAAAAAAAAAGGAAAAAAAUAACACAAACCAACUUGGAGAACUUAAUUCAUGACUUGCAGUGUGGGAUUCAACAGUGGACUACGCCGUGUCGUGCAACCACAGCUGCUUGUACUCCCACGCUGAGAAACCAGAGGCAGAGCAGCCCUACCAGCUGGCCCUCCUUAACCUCCCCAGAACCUGCUCCAAGGGCCACCAGAAAUGAAGAGCUACGGCUUUGUGAAGACAGAGGUAUGUCUGUACACGUGGGAACGUGGGGCAUUUCCAGAUUGCCACGUAACUACCAGGUCACUUCUGGAUGUGUUGAACACUACAGACACCGACAGAAAAUACUGCCCUUGUGACUUCUGGUCAUUCUGUUCUGUUCUCUCUUCUAGCUUUAGCUGCAAGAA